GACGAACGCUGGCGGCGUGCUUAACACAUGCAAGUCGAACGGAAAGGCCCUGCUUUUGUGGGGUGCUCGAGUGGCGAACGGGUGAGUAACACGUGAGUAACCUGCCCUUGACUUUGGGAUAACUUCAGGAAACUGGGGCUAAUACCGUAUAGGAGCUCCUGCUGCAUGGUGGGGGUUGGAAAGUUUCGGCGGUUGGGGAUGGACUCGCGGCUUAUCAGCUUGUUGGUGGGGUAGUGGCUUACCAAGGCUUUGACGGGUAGCCGGCCUGAGAGGGUGACCGGCCACAUUGGGACUGAGAUACGGCCCAGACUCCUACGGGAGGCAGCAGUGGGGAAUAUUGCACAAUGGGCGGAAGCCGGAUGCAGCAACGCCGCGUGCGGGAUGACGGCCUUCGGGUUGUAAACCGCUUUCGCCUGUGACGAAGCGUGAGUGACGGUAAUGGGUAAAGAAGCACCGGCUAACUACGU
rnacentral:rRNA from 1 species